AAAAAAAGCUCAACGCAUCGGCAUCGCCCACACUCUCACUUGCUCCCCUGCCCCUCCCGUCUCUGCCUUUUCCCCACUUUUUCACCCCCUUCCACUGCUCCACGAAAUCACAACAGCCUCCUGCCGUUCGCUCGACCUCCGGCGAAUCUCUACUCUCUCUGGCGGCAUGGAUGCGGGCGUCAGGUCAUUCCGGUCGAUACUUGACAAACCCCUAACUCAGCUCACAGAAGACGACAUUUCCCAGCUCACACGCGAAGAUUGCCGCAAAUAUCUCAAAGAAAAAGGAAUGCGGAGACCUUCCUGGAACAAAUCACAAGCGAUCCAGCAAGUAAUCUCCCUCAAAGCUCUUCUCGAAACUAGUGAAGACUCCGGCGCCGGUGCUCUGCGGAAAAUCUUAGUUUCCAAACCACCGGCGACUUCAAAUUCGGUUGAUUCAAUGAAGGAACCCAGUGAUAUAAAUAACAACGCAGUUUCGGGGUCUGUAGAUGAUACUGCUCCGUGCCGGCAAAAUGAUUCCCCGAAAUCUACUCCAGGGCCGUUGGAUUGCCAACCUGAAGAGGCCGAUAAUAAAGCCUUUGCUUCCAGGUCAAUCUGUACUUUUCAAUUUUGACUCUAUUUUUUUAUUAAUUUUCCCGAUAAUGUUAAUCGGAUUCGUUAAUCAACUUAUAUCAGUGAUUAACUGAUUUCCAUCGAUUGAUGUAGAUGGACCCUGCAAUAUGGCUGCUGAAUUUAAUGCUCUUCUUUAGGUGCAAAUUCAUACUCUCAGAAUGGUUAUCCAAUUCUGGGUUAGGUUUGACUUGUAAGGAUGAUAUUGCUUUGUGGGUUUUGCUGCAGGCUGUAUAAACAGUGACUUUGGUAUCAGUAGUUUUGUGAAACGUAAGUCUUAGGAGCUGUUUGGUAUGAGAUUGGGUGAUUGUUAACUUUUAACCUCAUUAACUUGUUUGAAUAAAUUUUCACCUCGUUAAUAUUUAUUUUUCCUUAGAGGGAUAAAUUUUAACCUAGGGGCAUAGGAUAAUAAUUUCCUCUUAAAGGUUAAAACUCAUAAGGGUAAUGGCUAACCCUUAUUUUUUAACCUUCUACUAAAUGCAUUGUUAGCUCUGAAUUUUGAUGAGGACAAGAGUAGGAGUCUUCUCUAAAUUUAGGGACUAGCUGAUUCGGUAUUCUUUGGUUAAAUUGUCUUGCAAGCUUCUUAUUGAAUCCUACGAUCUGAUUGUAAGGUGGGUUUUUUCAUUAGGAUAUGUUUUAGAGAUGAUGCCAGAUUUUUUUACUUUGUGGCCUUAAACUUGAGGUGUCCGGCCUAAAUGAUUUGAACUUGUUAUUCCAUAAGUUCCUCUAUUUAUUCUGAAUGAAAAAGGAAGAGUUUCACCUGAUGCUGGAAAUGAAGAAAGGGAAGAAGGUGGGUGUUGGAAAGAAUGGUGGUCAGCAUGGAGAACACCUAGUAAUGGGCUGAGACAGUUUAUGAACAGUAUAACUUUGAAACAUGUUGGUUCAAACAUGCAUUAUUUUGUUUCUGAUUAUAUAUGCAGUCCUGUUUAGACAGCACAUUUUUCUAGUUGAUUUGUUGGUAGAUGGUUUGAGACUUCAGUUAAUGCAACAAUGCAACUAGCACACUUGAUUGAAACUGGGCUUUUUGCCAUCCAAUAUGUGGUUACUAGCUGUCAUUAUCUCCUCUGCAACUCUUUUAUUUAAGUAUUUGAAAAUUUGGCCACAGAAGUCUUGAUGCAACAGAUGGAUCGGUUGGGCAAAUGACAAUUUUCUAUUGUGGAAAGGUGAACGUGUAUGAUGGAAUCCCACCCGAUAAGGUAAUGAAGCUUCCCCUUUGAAUGGAUACCUCAAGAUAACUCUGAUAGCAUGUUGGCCUUCCAAUGCAUCCAAAAUAUGGAUUUGCAGGCCCAGGCAAUCAUGCAUCUUGCAGCAAGUCCAAUUCAGUCACCUCUGGAUGAUCCAAUUCAUAGACCUGCAUUUUCAUUUCCAUGUCAUUUUCAGACCCCCAGUGAUAAACAUGGCCUUCUUUCUUCUAAUGCUGCAAUCGCUCAGACCACUCUAACAGAGAAGACAACAGAAUAUUCUCAUCAGUGUAGGGAGAAAGCCAACAUGACUCAUGACCCUGGUAAGGACUCUCCCUUAGCUUGUUGUUUGUAGAUUUUUUUUACUUGUUGGAAAGCAUCGUCAUAGUUCUCUUUGAUGAGGAUGAGUAUCUUUAUUAUGCAAAUUUAUGCAAUGGAUAAAUUUAGAACGUUGCUCUUAUGUUAAAGUUAGUAGCUGGGAAUAUUCACAUUUCAACAGCGUGCUUUGUUAUGCCAAAUACUGGUGCUUUAAAUUUCUUUGUAUCUUGAUACUUCAAGAGGUAAGACAUUUGAUGUAAUGGGUUUCUCUCUAGAUAUGACUUAUAGGAUGGGCUGGACACUGGGCUUUUAUUGAGUGUUGUUACAACGAAUCCUCAUCUUGUUGAAAGCUAUAUCAUCCCUUCACAAGGUGAUUGUGAACAAAUUAUUGGUAUAAGCAAUUUUAACUGUUUUUUCUAUUGUUUGGCGUGAUAGAAGUGAAAAAGAUAAAUGGAGGACAUUUCAUGGUGACUAACUGUGUGUAUUGUAAAGGGUUAUUCAUUGCACUUCUAUCGCUGCCGAUGAAUCACAUACUGUUGCUGCCACCAACGAUGCGUCUAUGUUAGCAUUGUCAGUACCAACAUCUUCUUUUUUCUUUUUUUUUUUCGGAAAGUCUUGGAUGCAAUCUUUAACCCCUUUGAUCUCAUGCUUGAUUCACUGUCAUCCUCUUCUUUGUGUGUGCUGGGAUCCACAGUGUUUACAUCAGCACCUUACACCCACCAACACUAUUGCGUGCAACUACAAGUAUCUUCUCAAGCACUACUUGGAUUAGCACCAUCUCAUUGGCACCAAUUCUCUCUCCUGCUUCACAUUUUAAAAAUAGCAAAUUUCUUUUUCUGGCACACUUGCUGCCACAGCCUCUUUCCUUCUCUGUGCUUGAGCAAGAGAUUGCUGUAUGCAUACUCUUUACUUGUGAUUCAGCAAUGAAAAGUACCCUGAGCAAAAUCUUGCUUAAGUUACUGAAAGUACAAUGUCAAGAUUGUCAGUAGUAGUAAGCAUUAGACAGUUCGGUCUGAAAAAUUUCAAAACCGAAUAAUUCAGGGGUGGAGGGUGGGGUUGUGGAGAAUUUUGCAAGCUGGUGUAAAGUAGUAACCCUAUUCCCUAAAUUACAAAGCACAAAGUUCUGAAGGAUCUCUAUUCGAUUUUUUGAUUUUCAUUUAAAAACCAAACUGAGUAAACUGAACUUCUAUGUAUUUCAAACUGAAUUACCUAAUUAAUUAAACUGAAUUUCUGAAUAAUUUUGUUCGGUUCAGAAUUUUAAUUCAAAUUGAAUAGUGCGUACCCCUAAUUGUCAGUUGUUUGCACAUCCUU
rnacentral:misc_RNA from 1 species